rnacentral:rRNA from 1 species
UUAAUCGGAAUUACUGGGCGUAAAGCGUGCGCAGGCGGUGAUGUAAGACAGGUGUGAAAUCCCCGGGCUUAACCUGGGAACUGCAUUUGUGACUGCAUCGCUGGAGUGCGGCAGAGGGGGAUGGAAUUCCGCGUGUAGCAGUGAAAUGCGUAGAUAUGCGGAGGAACACCGAUGGCGAAGGCAAUCCCCUGGGCCUGCACUGACGCUCAUGCACGAAAGCGUGGGGAGCAAACAGG